UACAGAGGGGGCAAGCGUUGUUCGGAAUUACUGGGCGUAAAGGGCGCGUAGGCGGCCUGCUAAGUCGAACGUGAAAUCCCUGGGCUCAACCCAGGAACUGCGUCCGAUACUGGUUGGCUUGAAUCCGGGAGAGGGAUGUGGAAUUCCAGGUGUAGCGGUGAAAUGCGUAGAUAUCUGGAGGAACACCGGUGGCGAAGGCGGCCCCCUGGGCCGUACCUGACGCUGAGGCGCGAAGGCUAGGGGAGCGAACGGG
rnacentral:rRNA from 1 species